rnacentral:rRNA from 1 species
UACGUAGGGGGCAAGCGUUGUCCGGAUUCAUUGGGCGUAAAGGGUGUGUAGGUGGCGCGCUAAGUCGGGUGUGAAAUUUCGGAGCUUAACUCCGAAACUGCAUUCGAUACUGGCGUGCUUGAGGACUGGAGAGGAGAGUGGAAUUCCUGGUGUAGCGGUGAAAUGCGCAGAUAUCAGGAAGAACACCCGUGGCGAAGGCGGCUCUCUGGGACGGUACUGACGCUGAGACGCGAAAGCGUGGGGAGCGAACAGG